UACAGAGGGUGCGAGCGUUGUCCGGAAUCACUGGGCGUAAAGGGCGCGUAGGUGGCGCGACAAGUCAGUGGUGAAAGCUCGACGCUCAACAUCGAGUCGGCCACUGAGACUGUUGGGCUUGAGCACUGUAGAGGCUAAUGGAAUUCCGGGUGUAGCGGUGGAAUGCGUAGAGAUCCGGAAGAACACCGGUGGCGAAGGCGGUUAGCUGGGCAGUUGCUGACACUGAGGCGCGACAGCGUGGGGAGCAAACAGG
rnacentral:rRNA from 1 species